rnacentral:rRNA from 1 species
GACGAACGCUGGCGGCGUGCUUAACACAUGCAAGUCGAACGGAAAGGCCCUGCUUUUGUGGGGUGCUCGAGUGGCGAACGGGUGAGUAACACGUGAGUAACCUGCCCUUGACUUUGGGAUAACUUCAGGAAACUGGGGCUAAUACCGGAUAGGAGCUCCUGCUGCAUGGUGGGGGUUGGAAAGUUUCGGCGGUUGGGGAUGGACUCGCGGCUUAUCAGCUUGUUGGUGGGGUAGUGGCUUACCAAGGCUUUGACGGGUAGCCGGCCUGAGAGGGUGACCGGCCACAUUGGGACUAAGAUACGGCCCAGACUCCUACGGGAGGCAGCAGUGGGGAAUAUUGCACAAUGGGCGGAAGCCUGAUGCAGCAACGCCGCGUGCGGGAUGACGGCCUUCGGGUGGUAAACCGCUUUCGCCUGUGACGAAGCGUGAGUGACGGUAAUGGGUAAAGAAGCACCGGCUAACUACGUG